CCUGCAUUCAUCUGCUGCCAAAAUCUCUGUUUUCUGUGUUUAUUGUACUCAAAGUCUCUCUUUGGAGAUGGAGGCUACUCAUGUACAGAAUGUCUGUUGACUCCCUAUAACAACCCACAGUCAAGUACUUUUCAAUGAAGCUCACCGAACUACCAGGGGGAUAAUUGCUGAUGCGAAAAGUGAGGAUUCUUGGAUUUUGAAGUGGUUUCAGAUCAAGAUGAAUCCAUAUCCAAAUUGUAAAUAAAUAUUACAAAAAUAACGCUCUGUAAUCACUCUUCAAAAAAUUUUGAACAAUAAUAAAGUUGUUUAGAUAAGUUGAA